rnacentral:rRNA from 1 species
UGGGGAAUCUUGCACAAUGGGCGAAAGCCUGAUGCAGCCAUGCCGCGUGAAUGAUGAAGGCCUUAGGGUUGUAAAAUUCUUUCGCCAGGGACGAUAAUGACGGUACCUGGUAAAGAAGCCCCGGCUAACUUCGUGCCAGCAGCCGCGGUAAUACGAAGGGGGCUAGCGUUGUUCGGAAUUACUGGGCGUAAAGCGCGCGUAGGCGGAUUUUUAAGUCAGGUGUGAAAUCCCGAGGCUCAACCUCGGAACUGCACUUGAAACUGGGAAUCUAGAGUCCGGGAGAGGUUCGUGGAAUACCGAGUGUAGAGGUGAAAUUCGUAGAUAUUCGGUGGAACACCAGUGGCGAAGGCGACGAACUGGACCGGUACUGACGCUGAGGUGCGAAAGUGUGGGGAGCAAACAGGAUUAGAUACCCCCGUAGUCC